rnacentral:rRNA from 1 species
AUUGAACGCUGGCGGCAGGCCUAACACAUGCAAGUCGAGCGGAUGAAGGGAGCUUGCUCCUGGAUUCAGCGGCGGACGGGUGAGUAAUGCCUAGGAAUCUGCCUGGUAGUGGGGGAUAACGUCCGGAAACGGGCGCUAAUACCGCAUACGUCCUGAGGGAGAAAGUGGGGGAUCUUCGGACCUCACGCUAUCAGAUGAGCCUAGGUCGGAUUAGCUAGUUGGUGGGGUAAAGGCCUACCAAGGCGACGAUCCGUAACUGGUCUGAGAGGAUGAUCAGUCACACUGGAACUGAGACACGGUCCAGACUCCUACGGGAGGCAGCAGUGGGGAAUAUUGGACGAUGGGCGAAAGCCUGAUCCAGCCAUGCCGCGUGUGUGAAGAAGGUCUUCGGAUUGUAAAGCACUUUAAGUUGUGAGGAAGGGUAGUAAGUGAAUACCUUGCUGUUUUGACGUUACCAACAGAAUAAGCACCGGCUAACUUCGUG